GAAAAUUAUAUUGGAAGUUGUCAUUUCUACAGUAAAAACAGCUUUUUUUUCAAGUAGUACGAAUUGUGACUUCGAUUUAUCUGUGGAACUAUUUGAACAGAAGGUAAAGCAGUAAUUUUGCUGUAUUUAGAAAGCAAACAGGGUCAUAUUUUUAAAAAUAUAGCGCACUGAAUAUAAAUUCGAGCAUCAUUAAAAUGUGUUCGCUAUGAUGCCAUUUUGUCUCCGGUAUAUACGGAGUUCUGCUUUUAUACUUGUGGAUAUUCGAAUUUAUUUGGCUCAAAAACACCAUUACUUCAAUAUCCCUUUCUUGUUUUUCCUUGGAUAGGUUUUAACAAGAUAGAACUCUAGAUCACUUGGGUCCAAAGACGCUAGAUUAUAAAAUCCUGAUGUGACUUGAUACUACAAAUAGAAUAUGUCUUAUGAUUUAAUACUACAAAUAGAAUGUCUUUUAAGUACAAACUUCAAUGAAUUGAUAAAGUGUAAGGAUAGUGUUUAAAGUCGCUUCAUGUGUAGAAGCUGAAUUACUUUAGUUUAUACACUGUAUAUUGUCGAGAUCACAUGUUGAUAUGACUUAAUGCUAGCAACUUGCAAUAAGUGGUCUGUUCUGCUUGUUUAUAAUACUUUAGAGUUUGGACAUUAGAACAUUGUAAUUGCCUGACAGAGACUGUUAGGGCCUGUUUGUAUGGAAGCCGGGCUGGCCCGCUUAGCAAGACAGUCUGGUAAGGUAGUUAAGCAGGAUGAUUUCUCUUGUGUUUAUUUGAGAAAAUUUCAUUCCGCUUACCAGGACAAUUUUGUUGUUUUGACAUUAUUUUGACAGUUGUUAAAAAUAGCUUGCGGCAGUAUCUUUGAACUUUCAUCCCGGCUAGCCUGCUUAUGAUUGUUUAUGUGGAGAAAUUUCCAUCCUGGUCUUGGCAACCGGGCCUGCCCGCUUGUCCAUAGAAAUGAUAAUUUGUACUAUAAAAAUAACUAGACAGCGAGAUCUCACUUACCGGGCUGUCUCACUUAGCGGGCCAGCCAGUUUCAAUAUAAACAGGCCCUUACACAACUGCUAAAAGCUGCAAGUUUCUUUAAAGCAAUAUCAUCUAUAUCACAGAAUACAGUUUCUGUAGUGACUCUCAUUGUAACUCAGUAGUCUCAGUUAUUCCUUCUCAAGAAAAAUAAAAAAACAAAGCUGUG